rnacentral:lncRNA from 1 species
GGGGAUGCCCUGAGGAUUUGGGAUAGACAUGCUGUAAAAUUUGGUUGUGAUGAUUGUUGUACACCAAUAAAUGUAAUAAAAUUCAUUAAGUAUUAAAAAAUAAAUUAAUUAAAGAAGUUAUAACAAUCAUACAAAAAACUAGCAGUUCCCGUCAUGGCAGAUCAGAAACAACUCCGACUAGGAGCCAUGAGGUUGCAGGUUUGAUCCUUGGCCUCACUCACUGGGUUUAGGAUCCAUCGUUGCCAUGAGCUGGGGUGAAGGUCACAGAUAAGGCUCCGAUCCCCCAUUGCUGUGGCUAUGGUGUAGGCCAGCAGCUGUAACUCUGAUGGGACCCCUAGCCUGAGAACAUCCUUAUGCCUUGGUUUCGGCCCUAAAAAGCAAAAGGAAAAAAAAAACAAAAACUAUUUCUUACUAAAGAACUAUUAAACAUUUCACCAUGUUUGCUUUAUCAUUUUCUCUCUUUCUCUCCAUAUAUACACUUACAUUUUUCCUGAACCAUGUGAGAGUAAGUUGCCAUAGUAAUGCCCCUUGACCCCUAAAUGCUUCAGUGUACAAAUAUUAAAAUCGAAUAAUUAACAGGGAUACAUACUGUUAGCUAUAGACUAUUUAUAGAUUUUCUAAUUGUCAUAAUAAUGUCAUUUACAAGAAAAACAAUCAGAUCAUGUCACAUUCAAAUGUUACGAAUACACAUUUUGUAUGUAACGUUACAAAGGAAUUUAUCAUUUCAAACUAAGAAACAAAGCAAAAAUAAAGAAGGAAACAAAACAAAAAGCACUAAAAAUACCAACAACUACUACAACAUUGGAAAGGAAAAGGAAGCAAGCUUUUAGAUAAACAGAAAUUCGGACAAUUCCAUGACAAGAAUAACUGUAAUUUUAAUCUCCUCCAAGUUAGGCCAUGCUUUGCUUUUGUUCAAAAAAACUACUUCACCCAGACUUCAACUGGAUUUCACAAGUUUAGUUCUGUUUCUGUGAGACAGAUUUUUCUGAAGUAUCUUUAUGUCCCUCCUAUAAAAAUGACCUAUCUGUUAUUCAAUGUGAGAACAAUUUUAAUACCACGUUCCUGAAUUUCAGCUGACCCCAAAGGAAUCAAAAAAACUGACGUCCAACAAAAAAAAUUUUAGUUACAGGGAAACUCCAUAUUAAGUGACUAUAACAGUGUUACAAUGUACUUUGGGCCAAGGUAGCAACUGCAGAUUUCUCAUAAAAGAAAAAAGGCACACAUUAGCCAGGAGAAUAAAAAUGAAUGCAAAGAAUGCUGCUAGUACAAAAAGUGACAAAAUAUGAAAUGCUCUAUAUGUAAUAAGUGUGCAACAGCAGUCUCUCAACAGCACUUACAGCAAACUGUUUUUACUCUGUUCCACAUUUUAUGAACCAAGCCACUACAUAUGUCAGCUGGAACAUGUACGCAGAAAAGCCCUGUGCUGAGUGGUUACCCAAAGGGGUCGGGAGGCCCAUGUUUAAGGAAUUAGUAAUAGGGUGGAACUCAGCUAUGCAAGAAUCCCAAAAGCAAAGUGCAUGCAAAACAUGUGACCACAUUUCAGCCAAAGUCCACACUCUGAGCCUAAUGAACUGGGAGGCCUCUACGUCAAUCAACAUUCUUCUGUCAGUGUUUCCAAAGAGUCACAGGGCCAAGGAGGCCCAUCAGCCAGGCCUGGGAGCCCAAGUGAAGAUAGGACAGCACAGACAAGGAAGGGUAUUAUCAAGGAACGUAGGCAGCAAGAGGCCAGGCUGUGAAAGCUCUAAACGCACAGC